CCUGAAUGAACCCUAAAUACUCGUUGCAAUUUAUCUCUCUAUUCCACGAGUGUGAAGGUGCUGAUGACUUUGCACCUCUAGGCUAGUUAUGGAAGAGUUCCUCGCAUCAGCAUCAUCAGCUGUCAUUGCUGGGUCUGAGAACCCUAUGUUUUUCCACUUCACACUUCAACUGAGCUGUGUAUGAAUUCCAUUGGGUGCCUUUGUUCGAUCUGUGUACAAAUUAGAAGAAUGGAAUGGAGCAAGCAACUGAAUGGUAAUUCCUCUUAAUUUUGUCUACGUGGCAAUCAUUACAAACAAUAGCAGCCAAAGUUUUUGUUGGGAAAUUGAUCCGUCCAAUUCACGUGUCAAAUUGUAGCAGCCAGAGACCAUCUGCUCUGUUUCAUUGCUCCAGCGUCACUGUCGUCAAUUGCGUCGGCGGUAAGGUUCGAUAUGUGGUGUGAAUUCAGGCAGGUUGUUAGGGAAAGUUGAAGUACUGUUAGAUUUAACGAGAACGGAAGUUAGGUCUGUGUUGUUUCAUAAUUUUGAAUCUCUUCUAUCAUUGAUAACGAUGCUAUUCUACCGCCCCUUCGGCAUGAAUCCAACGCAUACUUCACCGAUGAGAGUUGUGGAGCUUCAUGCUCACCAAAUGUUUGAUAAAAAGUUUCAGUAUAUUUCAGUAUAUUUCAAUGUAUUUCUAAUUUAUGAAACAGUUUCUGAUAUAUUUCAUUGUAUUCCAUUAUAUAUACGCAAACUACAAUUUUACAUUUCUUAAACAAUCAGCCAUAUUUCAUUGUAUUUCAGUGUAUAUUUUUCUGUAUUUGGAAGUAUUUAUAAAAGUUUGGAAUGGAGUAAUUU